UCUUUAUGGAUGAGCAAAGAAAGUGGUUUCUUAAGAUGAAAACUACUCCUGGUGAAGAUGCUGUGAA
rnacentral:pre_miRNA from 1 species